ensembl:snoRNA small nucleolar RNA SNORA31
UUGCAUCCACUGAUAGACCCGAAGCAUCCACUGGCUUCUGGGUUUGCAUAAAGAUGCGAGAAUGAGCUUUCCUUGCGCUUUCUAACUGCUUCUAUAUGUAGCAGAGGAGAUUGAAUUGAGGAGAACAUGU